rnacentral:rRNA from 1 species
UACGUAGGUGGCAAGCGUUGUCCGGAAUUACUGGGUGUAAAGGGAGCGUAGGCGGGAGUGCAAGUUGGAUGUCUAAUCUACCGGCUUAACCGGUAAUCGCAUUCAAAACUGCACUUCUUGAGUGAAGUAGAGGCAGGCGGAAUUCCUAGUGUAGCGGUGAAAUGCGUAGAUAUUAGGAGGAACACCAGUGGCGAAGGCGGCCUGCUGGGCUUUAACUGACGCUGAGGCUCGAAAGCGUGGGUAGCAAACAGG